UACGGGGGGGGGCAAGCGUUGUUCGGAAUUACUGGGCGUAAAGGGCUCGUAGGUGGCCAACUAAGUCAGACGUGAAAUCCCUCAGCUUAACCGGGGAACUGCGUCUGAUACUGGAUGGCUUGAGUUUGGGAGAGGGACGCGGAAUUCCAGGUGUAGCGGUGAAAUGCGUAGAUAUCUGGAGGAACACCGGUGGCGAAGGCGGCGUCCUGGACCAACACUGACACUGAGGAGCGAAAGCCAGGGGAGCAAACGGG
rnacentral:rRNA from 1 species